AAUCAUUGAAUUCGCACCAACCAAAUGUUACGAUUCAUUAAAAUAGAAAUUUGAAAAAUCCGAUAUUUUAUAAUAUUUGGCAGCUCUGGCAUCUUCAUGUCAUGGCUUCGUUUUUGGAUGACGAAGAAGAGUAAGAAGCCAGUUGUCUGGUCUUGUCUUAGGCACUACCUAAAGUUUCAGCCAUAAUUACUGGAAGAUAACUCUAACUGAGUGAAACGGCAUCACUGGCGUUUGCUUUUUCUCUUUCACGCUGGACUGUCAUUUGAAUAAACAAAUGAGAGCGGAGCGGACGGGAAAUUAUUAAAAGCAAGUAAUUUUCACAAUAAACAAGAGUAUUCUGUCUUUAACGCCUUUUUGAAUUUUAACUGAAUUCUAAACAACAUUUGGUUAUCCACUCGUGAUUUGGUGUCUACGAAAUAAAAGGAAUAAGGAGACUUGAUAUUUUUCAUGUAAUGCUGCCAAUGAUUGCCGUAACGAUACUGCUAUUCCGGCUAUGUCGCUGUGAAAAUGUGCUGCUUUACACCUCGAGCGUCUUGUACGGAACUAUGGAUACAUUCAGGAUAAAGAAUUAAAGGAAACUAUAUAAUUCAAAUAAGGUGGCUUUGAGUUGCGCGUCUUUAAUCAGAACAGAUUGUCUCUAAGCAACAGUUACACAUAUUCUUCAUAUGUGAAAACAAAAAAUAGGUUGAAUCGGCAACAAUCAUAAAACAAUGAAUAUACCGCAUUGUUUCUGCCACUUCCUAACUUUCACAUUUGAACUGCUUCGUCAGUUGCCGGUGUCACCAAUUCAGCGAAUGCAUUACAUUGUGAAUUUACCUCGUCUAAAUCAGAAAAGCAUUACACGAGUAUUGAACUGGAUGGAAUCACUUGGAAUAGAAUUAUGAUGGCUCGAAAUGUUUUAUCAGUAUACUGUAAAUUCUCGAACCAAUACAAACAUGAGCUGAGAGGAAAUUUACUAAUGCUAUAACAUUUUAUUGUAUAGUCGUUGAUUCUGUAGUAUAGUUAUGUAUAUCAUAGUAUAGUCAUAUUGCAUAGUGAUAGUAUCAGUAUAAAUAUGUACAAAUUAAAUUAAAAAUAAAAUGGUUCAAUGUUUA